rnacentral:rRNA from 1 species
CAUAGGCCGGGGGAAACCCCGAUUAAUACCGCAUAUGGCCUAAGGGUCAAAGCCUUCGGGCGCCAAGAGAGGAGCCUGCGGCCCAUUAUUUAAUCCUAGUUGGUGGGGUAAUGGCCUACCAAGGGUACGAUGGGUAGCUGGUCUGAGAGGACGAUCAGCCACACUGGAACUGAGACACGGUCCAGACUCCUACGGGAGGCAGCAGUGGGGAAUAUUGCGCAAUGGGCGGAAGCCUGACGCAGCCAACCCGCGUGUGUGAUGAAGGCCUUCGGGUUGUAAAGCACUGUCGUGAGGGAAGAAGAUCUGACGGUACCUCACAAGAAAGCACCGGCUAACUCCGUG